GACUGGUGUUCAGUAAUGACAGAUGGAAAAGUGAUGGGAGAACGGUGGUAAGUGGCCGGUGCAUGCUGCGAGGCUUGUGCAUGAAGACUCAUCCUGAGUGAAGAGCCACACAGUUCCACCAGGGGGAAGACUGAUUUUUGCAUAUCCUGCAGAAACUCAACCACCUAUUAGAGGAGAGAAACAGAGCGGGAAAGAACUACGCUGUAGGAAGGAAAGAUGAACUUGAGUUUCACUUCUUAGUGCCUUUUCUCAGGGGAGAGGCCAUCACUUGAAGAUGCUGUCUCCUGCUCCUUCUCCGGGGACUAGGUAUGAGCCUUGACUUGUGAGGAGUCUGGGGUUAAUGUUAAUGCUGGGUGGAGAGGUGGAAAGACUUCCUCUCCGGAGAGUCUGAAGCCACCAGACAGAAGAUGAAGGGGAUAUGUUAGAUUAAAGGACCAUAACAGAGUAAUUGUCGGCACAAUAAAAAGGAGGCAGUGCCCUGGGGUCCUUUGGGAGCUGAGGUGGUACUGGAGAGAUAAAGCAGAGACUUUCCCGUCUGACCCCAAGCUUGUCGGCCCUCAUGAAUAUCUCUCUGGAACUAGGCUCUGUGUUCAGUGCUGUCAUCUCUCAAAAGCCAAGCAGGGAUAUCUGUCAACGUGGAACCUCCAUGACGAUCCAGUGUCAAGUCAAUAGCCAAGUCACCAUGAUGUUCUGGUACUGUCAGCAACCUGGACAGAGCGUGACACUGAUUGCAACUGCAAAUCAGGGCUCUGAGGCCACAUAUGAGAGCGGAUUUGUCAUUGACAAGUUUCCCAUCAGCUGCCCAAACCUAACAUUCUCAACUCUGACUGUGAGCAACAGGAGCCCUGAAGACAGCAGCAUAUACCUCUGCAGCGUUGAAGACACAGUGCGGGGCACAGAUCAAAGAUCUAAGCAAGAACCUCAGCUCCCUUCUACCCAGCUCCCCUCACAUGAACCUGAGGGCCCUGUCAAGGUGGGACAGAAGGAGGAAACCACAGCUCUUGGGUAGGCACAGCUGUUUCUGUGCUUGUAGGUGGGCAUGGGUAUGAAUGGAUAGACUGGGGAUGAGGAGAGCAUCUGUAG